UACAUGGGGUGCAAACGUUGCUCGGAAUUAUUGGGCGUAAAGCGCGCGUAGGCGGUUACUCAAGUCGGAUGUGAAAGCCCUCGGCUUAACUGAGGAAGUGCACCCGAAACUGAGUAGCUAGAGUACUAAAGAGGGUCGCGGAAUUCCCGGUGUAGAGGUGAAAUUCGUAGAUAUCGGGAGGAACACCGGUGGCGAAGGCGGCACUCUGGGCCGAUACUGACACUGAGGAGCGAAAGCGUGGGGAGCGAACAGG
rnacentral:rRNA from 1 species